ensembl:miRNA
UUCCUGUGACGGGCGAGCUUUUGGCCCGGACUAUACCUGAUGCAUGUGUAUAAGACGAGCAAAAAGCUUGUUGGUCGGAGGA